GACGUAGGGCGCGAGCGUUGUCCGGAUUUAUUGGGCGUAAAGAGCUCGUAGGCGGCUCGUUGCGUCGGCUGUGAAAACCCGCAGCUCAACUGUGGGCUUGCAGCUGAUACGGGCGGGCUGGGAUUCGGUAGGGGAGACUGGAAUUCCUGGUGUAGCGGUGAAAUGCGCAGAUAUCAGGAAGAACACCCGUGGCUAAGGCGGUUCUCUAGUACGGUACUGACGCUGAGACGCGAAAGCGUGGGGAGCGAACAGG
rnacentral:rRNA from 1 species